GGCCUGAUGGUGUAGUGGGCACAACUGCUAAAAAUUGGAUAUAACGAUGUUGGUAAGCAGGAGGACCUCGUUCGAACCGAGGUUAGGCUA